ACUGGGAAUAGUCUUGACCGGAACAAGCGAUGGCGAUAGUCAACAAGAAGACCAAGCAAAGUUUAAAGGUUGUAGUCAACAAAGCCAAAGACUAAGCACUUAGUAAAGCGUAAACAAGCGUCACUUUAUUAGCCGUAGUUAUCAACAAAGGCGAAGACUAAACAAGAUUAGCAGUAGUAGGCUAUACAGCAUAUCCUUUGGCGCGAUUGACUUACAACGAAGGCGAAGACCAGGUAAAAGCAAGCUUCUCUUAUUUAUCCUUUCCCGCGCGAUUGACUUACAACGAAGGCGAAGACCAGGUAAAAGCAAGCUUCUCUUAUUUAUCCUUUCCCGCGCGAUUGACUUACAACGAAGGCGAAGACCAGGUAAAAGCAAGCUUCUCUUAUUAGUUUACAGUGUAUCCUUUCCCGCGCGAUUGACUUAGAAUUCCUCCACUUCCAAGGCAUCCUUGAGAACUUCAUACACCUCUCUGGGUC
rnacentral:lncRNA from 1 species